UACGGGGGGGGCAAGCGUUGUUCGGAAUUACUGGGCGUAAAGGGCUCGUAGGUGGCCAACUAAGUCAGACGUGAAAUCCCUCGGCUUAACCGGGGAACUGCAUCUGAUACUGGAUGGCUUGAGUUUGGGAGAGGGACGCGGAAUUCCAGGUGUAGCGGUGAAAUGCGUAGAUAUCUGGUGGAACACCGGUGGCGAAGGCGGCGUCCUGGACCAACACUGACACUGAGGUGCGAAAGCCAGGGGAGCAAACGGG
rnacentral:rRNA from 1 species